rnacentral:rRNA from 1 species
ACGGCUCAGUAACACGUGGAGAACCUGCCCUUAGGCGGGGGAUAAUCCCGGGAAACUGGGAAUAAUACCCCAUAGGUCUCGACUGCUGGAAUGCUUCGAGGCUGAAAGCUGCGGCGCCUGAGGAUGGCUCUGCGGCCUAUCAGGUCGUAGUGAGGGUAACGUCCUCACUAGCCGAUGACGGGUACGGGCGUUGAGAGACGGAGCCCGGAGAUGGACUCUGAGACACGAGUCCAGGCCCUACGGGGCGCAGCAGGCGCGAAACCUCCGCAAUGCUCGAAAGAGUGACGGGGGGAUUCCAAGUGCCUACGCUAAGCGUAGGCUGUUCAGAUGCCUAAAAAGCAUCUGGAGGAAGGACUGGGUAAGACGGGUGCCAGCCGCCGCGGUAAUACCCGCAGUCCAAGUGGCAGCCGAUUUUAUUGGGCCUAAAGCGUCCGUAGCCGGUCUGGCAAAUGCCUGGGUAAAUCGUCUGGCUCAACCAGACGAAUUCCGGGUAGACUGCUAGACUUGGGACCGGUUGAGGGAGAGGGUACUUCAGGGGUAGGAGUGAAAUCCUGUAAUCCUUGAAGGACCACCAGUGGCGAAGGCGCUCUCCUAGGACGGAUCCGACGGUGAGGGACGAAAGCCAGGGGAGCGAACCGGAUUAGAUACCCGGGUAGUCCUGGCCGUAAACGAUGCGGGCUUGGCAUUGGGGGUCCUACGAGGGCGUCCAGUGCCGAAGCGAAGGCGUUAAGCCCGCCGCCUGGGAAGUAUGGUCGCAAGGCUGAAACUUAAAGGAAUUGGCGGGGGAGCACCGCAAUGGGAGGAGCGUGCGGUUUAAUUGGAUUCAACGCCGGG